rnacentral:misc_RNA from 1 species
GAUGAAGAACGUAGUGAAAUGCGAUAAUUAAUGUGAAUUGCAGAAUUUAGUGAAUCAUCGAAUCUUUGAACGCACAUUGCGCCCCCUGGUAUUCCGGGGGGCAUGCCUGUCCGAGCGUCAUUGCUGCCCUCAAGCACGGCUUGUGUGUUGGGCCCCGUCCUCCGAUCCCGGGGGACGGGCCCGAAAGGCAGCGGCGGCACCGCGUCCGGUCCUCGAGCGUAUGGGGCUUUGUCACCCGCUCUGUAGGCCCGGCCGGCGCUUGCCGAUCAACCCAAAUUUUUUAUCCAGGUUGACCUCGGAUCAGGUAGGGAUACCCGCUGAACUUAAGCAUAUCAAUAAGCGGAGGA